ACGUACAAACAUUAAUACACGAUCAUUAUACGUAUAACCUGAUGCACGGUAUUAUCCACCAACGGAUGAUUAGUCGAGAUGCAUACCGUUAUGGAUCAAUAGUUAUGUAUCUCGGGUGUAUGUGUUCACUGAAAAUAUGACGCGACUUCCGUUUCUGCAGCACUCGCAUAUAUCGGCAACGGAAGGCGCGAACCGGACGACUAGCGUG